UGGUGACAAACCGGAGGAAGGUGGGGAUGACGUCAAGUCAUCAUGGCCCUUACGGCCUGGGCUACACACGUGCUACAAUGGUCGGUACAAAGGGUUGCCAAGCCGCGAGGUGGAGCUAAUCCCAUAAAACCGAUCGUAGUCCGGAUCGCAGUCUGCAACUCGACUGCGUGAAGUCGGAAUCGCUAGUAAUCGUGAAUCAGAAUGUCACGGUGAAUACGUUCCCGGGCCUU
rnacentral:rRNA from 1 species